ACAUAUUAAAAUUCGACGGUACGAGUGAAUUUCAUUAAUAAGCAGAAAAAGAUACACCUAGUCAUGGGGACAUAAUGAGUCUUACCCUUAAAUGCAUCUAUACAUAAAUAAAAGCUUAACAACAACAAAAAAAACUACAAGUAAUUUCAACAAAAUCACAAAAUUUUAAUUCAAUCCUUAUGUAAAUCCUAGAAUACUCAAUUUUAAAUUAAAAUUAUAAUUAAAGAUAUAGAAAAAUUAGAGAAUUAUAAACUAC
rnacentral:lncRNA from 1 species